UAGUAAUCGCAGAUCAGAAUGCUGCGGUGAAUGCGUUCCCGGGUCUUGUACACACCGCCCGUCACACCACGGGAGUUGGAGACGCCCGAAGCCGAUUAUCUAACCUUUUGGAAGAAGUCGUCGAAGGGGGAAUCAAUAACUGGGGUGAAGUCGUAACAAGGUAGCCGUAUCGGAAGGUGCGGCUGGAUCACCUCCUUUCUAAG
rnacentral:rRNA from 1 species